CCUACGGGUGACAGCAGUGAGGAAUAUUGGUCAAUGGACGAGAGUCUGAACCAGCCAAGUAGCGUGAAGGAUGACUGCCCUAUGGGUUGUAAACUUCUUUUAUAAAGGAAUAAAACGAGGCACGUGUGCCUUUUUGCAUGUACUUUAUGAAUAAGGAUCGGCUAACUCCGUGCCAGCAGCCGCGGUAAUACGGAGGAUCCGAGCGUUAUCCGGAUUUAUUGGGUUUAAAGGGAGCGUAGAUGGGUUGUUAAGUCAGUUGUGAAAGUUUGCGGCUCAACCGUAAAAUUGCAAUUGAUACUGGCAGUCUAGAGUACAGUAGAGGUAGGCGGAAUUCGUGGUGUAGCGGUGAAAUGCUUAGAUAUCACGAAGAACCCCGAUUGUGAAGGCAGCUUACUAAACUGUGACUGACAUUGAUGCUCGAAAGUGUGGGUAUCAAACAGGAUUAGAUACCCCUGUAGUC
rnacentral:rRNA from 1 species